AACACAGUAGCUCAAAGCCCUCAGGUUGAAGCGGAACAUUAUGGCCUCCAAAUUAAAUACUAUUAUCCUAGUUCUUGCUGCCGUUUGCACUAUCACACUUGCCUACGAUAAAGAGAAAUGCGAUGCUCCUCCCAGCGUGACAGGAAUGUGCCAGGCCUCAAUUACCGCGUGGGUCUAUAAGGAUGGAAAAUGUCAGUUCUUAGAGUAUGGUGGGUGUGGGGCCACUCCAAACAUAUUUCUUAGACUUAAAUCUCUAUGCGAGGCAUCUUGCUUAAACUAAGCUAAAUGUGCUGUGGGUAAAAGCAUUAGCUUUUUGAAAUCAAAUAAAAAUAAAAUAACAUCCCAAGGGCAGAAUAAUAA